GUGCUCAGGGUCGCUCUAAAUAUAGCGGUAGCCCUGCUGUUCGACGCUCGCAUAAUUCGACCCAUAGGUAAUUGUAAACAUUUUAUAUGGUUGUAAUCAGCAAUUAGUGUGAAGUUUGGUGAUGAAAAAAAACCAAAAGACAAUAAAACAAUUGGUAUUAUUGAAUUAUUUUGUUUUAAAAACCAGAAAAUGCUUUGGUUUUUAAUUCUACAUCUGAAAUUGUGAUCGGCAUAUGAACUUCAUUUAUGCACAUAUUUUAAUAAGAAGACGUGCAUUUUAACUAAUAUAUUAAAUUAUAUAACUAGUGCAGCUCCUUUAGCAAAAAUAUCAACAGAAACUUACUAAUAAUUAUUCAUUUUACAUGCAAGAAUCAUCGAGAUCGGCAUCCCACCAAUGUCGUCCUGUACUCGAGCGAUCGAGUCUCGACUGAUUUAUAUCAUUAUGAUUAUGAUAACAAUACCUUGAAAGUAAGAUAGUGGUUUAAAAAGAAAAAGUAAUUGUUUACACCUGCACGUUAAUCCAAGUUUAAGGCGUCUAGCUGUGCCUUGUUCACACCUGUUGUCAUGUGAUUAAAAUAUAAAAGAUGACUUAGGAAUUGUUAUGGAGAUAACACUAUUGUAAAUAUGCUUUGAAUAAACAGCCAUUGUUUUCAA